rnacentral:rRNA from 1 species
GGGCCCGCACAAGCGGUGGAUUAUGUGGAUUAAUUCGAUGCAACGCGAAAAACCUUACCUGGCCUUGACAUGUACCGAAUUUAGCAGAGAUGCUUUAGUGCUCGUAAGAGAACGGUAACACAGGUGCUGCAUGGCUGUCGUCAGCUCGUGUCGUGAGAUGUUGGGUUAAGUCCCGCAACGAGCGCAACCCUUGCCAUUAAUUGCCAUCAUUUAGUUGGGCACUUUAAUGGGACUGCCGGUGACAAACCGGAGGAAGGUGGGGAUGACGUCAAGUCCUCAUGGCCCUUAUGGCCAGGGCUUCACACGUAAUACAAUGGACGGUACAGAGGGACGCCAACCCGCGAGGGGAGCCAAUCCCAGAAAGCCGGUUGUACCCGAAGUCGCUGAGCCAACCCGCAAGGGAGGCAGGUGCCGAAGGUAUGG